rnacentral:rRNA from 1 species
CUUGGUCAUUUAGAGGAAGUAAAAGUCGUAACAAGGUCUCCGUAGGUGAACCUGCGGAGGGAUCAUUACACAAAUAUGAAGGCGGGCUGGAACCUCUCGGGGUUACAGCCUUGCUGAAUUAUUCACCCUUGUCUUUUGCGUACUUCUUGUUUCCUUGGUGGGUUCGCCCACCACUAGGACAAACAUAAACCUUUUGUAAUUGCAAUCAGCGUCAGUAACAAACUAAUAAUUACAACUUUCAACAACGGAUCUCUUGGUUCUGGCAUCGAUGAAGAACGCAGCGAAAUGCGAUAAGUAGUGUGAAUUGCAGAAUUCAGUGAAUCAUCGAAUCUUUGAACGCACAUUGCGCCCUUUGGUAUUCCAAAGGGCAUGCCUGUUCGAGCGUCAUUUGUACCCUCAAGCUUUGCUUGGUGUUGGGCGUCUUGUCUCUAGCUUUGCUGGAGACUCGCCUUAAAGUAAUUGGCAGCCGGCCUACUGGUUUCGGAGCGCAGCACAAGUCGCACUCUCUAUCAGCAAAGGUCUAGCAUCCAUUAAGCCUUUUUUUCAACUUUUGACCUCGGAUCAGGUAGGGAUACCCGCUGAACUUAAGCAUAUCAAUAAGCGGAGGA